rnacentral:rRNA from 1 species
AGCAGUAGCCACGGUAAUACGAAGGGGGCUAGCGUUGCUCGGAAUUACUGGGCGUAAAGGGAGCGUAGGCGGAUCGUUAAGUUGGGGGUGAAAGCCCGGGGCUCAACCUCGGAACUGCCUUCAAUACUGGCGAUCUUGAGUAUGAGAGAGGUGUGUGGAACUCCGAGUGUAGAGGUGAAAUUCGUAGAUAUUCGGAAGAACACCAGUGGCGAAGGCGACACACUGGCUCAUUACUGACGCUGAGGCUCGAAAGCGUGGGGAGCAAACAGGAUUAGAUACCCGAGUAGUCCCUGUCUCUUAUAC